rnacentral:misc_RNA from 1 species
UUAUCGAUAGUGUACGAGUAAAUUUAUUGUUGUGAUAAUUCGUUAUAUAUAAUAUUGGUGUGUUCAUACCACAGUGACGACAACCGUUGAUGUUACAUGUCGUGAUUAACACGUUGAAAUCGAAACCGAGAUAGAUAAAAAAAAAAAAAAAGCUAAGAAAAAGUGUUCCGCCACCGUUUUCAUACCCAAGCAAUGUGCAGUCAUUCGCAUUUUUCAUACGCAUAGUACUUAUACCUACUUAUAUGGUAAAUGUCGUUAUCGAGAAUAUAUCGGGCUCACCGAUGUGAGUGAGGGACACAGAUUUGUCUUCCGAACACCGA